rnacentral:rRNA from 1 species
GGUCUGUCAAGUCGGAUGUGAAAUCCCCGGGCUCAACCUGGGAACUGCAUUCGAAACUGGCAGGCUAGAGUCUUGUAGAGGGGGGUAGAAUUCCAGGUGUAGCGGUGAAAUGCGUAGAGAUCUGGAGGAAUACCGGUGGCGAAGGCGGCCCCCUGGACAAAGACUGACGCUCAGGUGCGAAAGCGUGGGGAGCAAACAGGAUUAGAUACCCUGGUAGUCCACGCUGUAAACGAUGUCGAUUUGGAGGUUGUGCCCUUGAGGCGUGGCUUCCGGAGCUAACGCGUUAAAUCGACCGCCUGGGGAGUACGGCCGCAAGGUUAAAACUCAAAUGAAUUGACGGGGGCCCGCACAAGCGGUGGAGCAUGUGGUUUAAUUCGAUGCAACGCGAAGAACCUUACCUGGUCUUGACAUCCACAGAACUUAGCAGAGAUGCUUUGGUGCCUUCGGGAACUGUGAGACAGGUGCUGCAUGGCUGUCGUCAGCUCGUGUUGUGAAAUGUUGGGUUAAGUCCCGCAACGAGCGCAACCCUUAUCCUUUGUUGCCAGCGGUUCGGCCGGGAACUCAAAGGAGACUGCCAGUGAUAAACUGGAGGAAGGUGGGGAUGACGUCAAGUCAUCAUGGCCCUUACGACCAGGGCUACACACGUGCUACAAUGGCAUAUACAAAGAGAAGCGACCUCGCGAGAGCAAGCGGACCUCAUAAAGUAUGUCGUAGUCCGGAUUGGAGUCUGCAACUCGACUCCAUGAAGUCGGAAUCGCUAGUAAUCGUAGAUCAGAAUGCUACGGUGAAUACGUUCCCGGGCCUUGUACACACCGCCCGUCACACCAUGGGAGUGGGUUGCAAAAGAAGUAGGUAGCUUAACCUUCGGGAGGGCGCUUACCACUUUGUGAUUCAUGACUGGGGUGAAGUCGUAACAAGGUAACCGUAGGGGAACCUGCGGUUGGAUCACCUCCUUACCUUAAAGAA